rnacentral:rRNA from 1 species
GACGAACGCUGGCGGCGUGCUUAACACAUGCAAGUCGAACGAUGAAGAAAAGAAUCGAAGCUUCGGCAGAAAUUCAUUUCGGAUUAGUGGCAGACGGGUGAGUAACGCGUGAGCAACCUACCUCUUACAAAGGGAUAGCCUCGGGAAACCGGGAUUAAUACCAUAUCACAUUGUGACGAAGCAUUUCGAUGCAAUCAAAGCUACGGCGGUAAGAGAUGGGCUCGCGUCCCAUUAACCGGAUGGUGAGGUAACGGCUCACCAUAGUGACGAUGGGUAACCGGCCUGAGAGGGUGAACGGUCACACUGGAACUGAGACACGGUCCAGACUCCUACGGGAGGCAGCAGUGGGGAAUAUUGCACAAUGGAGGGAACUCUGAUGCAGCGACGCCGCGUGAGUGAUGAAGGAAUUCGUUUCGUAAAACUCUGUUCUAUGGGAAGAAAAGGACUGUACCAUAGGAGAAAGCUCCGGCUAAAUACGUG